CCCAGGUUAAUUGAGGCCCAGCCCCCGGUAUAAUUCUUUGGGGUGCAAGCGAUGUAAGAAAUUAUUGCGUCUAAAGGGUUUGGCGGCCGGUUUAUUAAGUUUGAUUGUAAAUGCCCCCGGCUCCACCCGGGCAGGGUCAUUGGAAACUGGGGGACUUGAGUGCAGAAGAGGAGAGUGGAAUUCCCACGAGUAGCGGUGAAAUGCGUAGAGAUGUGGAGGAACACCAGUGGCGAAGGCGACUCUCUUGCUCUGUAACUGACGCUGAGGAGCGAAAGCGUGGGGAGCGAACAGCAUUAGAUACCGUGGUAGUCCACGCCGUAAACGAUGAGUACUAAGUAUUAGGGGGUUUCCUCCCCUUAUUAGUGCAGCAAAUGCCUCAAGCAUCUACGCCCCGUGAGGAGUGGUGGUCAGGGAGGAUAACCCUCAGGAAUUAACAGGGGCCCCCGCACCCGUGGAGGCCCAUGAGUUCUUAUUAGCAGCACCGAGAAGCGUAUUACCAGGUCUCGUCAUCCUAAGACAAUCGUAGAGAUAGGUCUUCCCCUUGGGGGGCAGAGUCACAGGUGGUGCAUGGUUGUCGUCAGCUCGUGUCGAGAGAUGUUGGAUUAAGUCCCGCAACGAGCGCAACCCUUGAUCUUAGUUGCCAGCAUUCAGUUGGGCACUAUAAGGUGACUGCCGGUGACAAACCGGAGGAAGGUGGGGAUGACGUCAAAUCAUCAUGCCCCUUAUGACCUGGGCUACACACGUGCUACAAUGGACAGAACAAAGGGCAGCGAAACCGCGAGGUUAAGCCAAUCCCACAAAUCUGUUCUCAGUUCGGAUCGCAGUCUGCAACUCGACUGCGUGAAGCUGGAAUCGCUAGUAAUCGCGGAUCAGCAUGCCGCGGUGAAUACGUUCCCGGGCCUUGUACACACCGCCCGUCACACCACGAGAGUUUGUAACACCCUAAUUCCCUGUGGUU
rnacentral:rRNA from 1 species